rnacentral:lncRNA from 1 species
ACAUCGUGAUCCGCCCGCCUCAGCCUCCCAAGGUGCUGGGAUUACAGGCAUGAGCCACCAUGCCUGGCUGACACAGUAGGCUUUUAACAAAUACUCAAGAAAUCGCAGUUCUUAGGCAUUUAAGGAACAGAGUUGGAACAAAAUCAAGAUUCAAAAUUAUUUCUCUAAGCCUUCUUUGGGCCACAGUCUACAAAGAGAUUGGGGAAGUAGGCUGUCAGAACUUUAAUGGUUCUGAAAUCACCGAAAAUGAUGUAACUGGAACACUUUCAUUUCACAAGAUUACAGUGUUACAUUUUCUAAAGAAACUGUCAUUUGCCUUCUGAACUAGAAACAGGGAUUUGUAAAAUAAUGUGCAGUGAUGGCGUGGAAAACUAACCAGCAGCACUCCUGAAAUGCUGCCUUCGUGUUCCCCUGGGACUGCUCGCCUCACCCCAAAACUAUUUCUACUGCCUUCCCCUUCCAUGCUACAACUAGUCUCCAAAGGUAGUUUUCUCUACUAACAAAGCAAACAGAUCAUAUGAACGGACAUCAGACUUUCUUAGGAGAUUUCUGAAAAUUCUCUCUUCUGGGGGAAUAAAUUGUGAGCAUUUCGAUUCAAACAUUCCUGAAAGAAUAACCAGGCAACCGAAACACUCAGUGACCUAACUGUGGUAGGCUGGUCACUUCAAACUUAACAGAACAAUAAAACAUAUACUACUUUAUGGCCAAAAAAAAAAAUCUUUUUAAAACAAUAAGUGUGGACAAAGUGUUUUCACAGAUGAAGAGAUGAAGUUCCUGAAAUUUAGGGUUUCAUUUCUCAAGGGUCUCCUUUAAACAAACAAACAGUUAUGAUUUCAAAGUAGACAUGUGCCUUCAACACCAUUUUUAAAAAUUACCAGCCUUAGCAAAGGUGUAGAAAAAACUUGUUCUCAAGCACUGUCCGUGGAAGAAUUAGUAAAACAUUUCUAGAAAACCUGUUACCGUCUUAACAAACUUUUAAACACAUGUAGCAAUUCUACUUCCAGGAACUUAUCUAUUUGCCAAGACAUAUAUGCAAGGAUCUUCCCUAUAGGGUUGUGUAUAAAGGAAAAAUCAGACAGACUAUGCCAGGAGCCCUCUGAAAGAGAAGAGUCAACUGUGGAGGGGGCACCUGUGAAUGAAUCCUGCGGAGCUGCUAACAGAGCAGACUUACACACACAACAUGACUUUCCUGGGCCUGACUCCCGGACCUGUCCCCAGCGCCUCGCGGCCUCUCGAGCCCCUUCAGUGACCAAGAUGCAGAGAUCAGGACGCCAUUGCACCACCCCAGGGUCUGGCGCUGUCGCCCAGGUUGGAAUACAGCGGUGCAAUCUCAACUCACUGCAAACUCCGCCUCCCAGGUUCAAGCAAUUCUCCUGCCUCAGUCUCCUGAGUAGCUGAGAUUACAGAUGCCUGCCACCACACGCAGCUAAUUGGUUGGGUGUGGUGGGGCUUUCCAAUGAUUACUUAUUAAUGAUUACUUAUGAAAAACAACAACAAAAAAGCCAUCUUGAAGCUGCUUUUAAUGAGAGAACAAAUGUGCUCCCAAGCAACAGAGCAGCGAAAUUCUUUAUUACUGGAUUCUAACUUUCCUCUCUAACUGUAACUGUCUCAGCUCCACCUCAUGUGACUUGGAGGGUAUGUUGCAACCUGCGUCUUCACCACCCAUUCAUGAAGAUCUAUAAAACUAAUGUAAACUGCUGGGGCAAUUUCAACAUGAGUCAACUGGAGAUUGUUACUUGGUGAGAAUGCGCAAGUGGCAAAGAUCUAAAUUUGUUCAGCUAAUUUGUAAUUAACCUUCGCUUCUCACAUGUCAGUAUGUGAAGUGUCUGGUUUAAGCAAUUUAUCCAAAAAAGCCAUAGACUCUUUAAAUAACAACAAAACCUGGGCCUGGAAUUUUAUAAAGGCAGAAUGAGUAAGA